rnacentral:rRNA from 1 species
UACGUAGGGUGCAAGUGUUGUCCGGAAUUAUUGGGCGUAAAGAGCUCGUAGGCGGUUUGUCGCGUCGAAUGUGAAAACCCGGGGCUCAACCCCGGGCCUGCAUUCGAUACGGGCAGACUAGAGUUCGGUAGGGGAGUCUGGAAUUCCUGGUGUAGCGGUGAAAUGCGCAGAUAUCAGGAGGAACACCGGUGGCGAAGGCGGGACUCUGGGCCGAUACUGACGCUGAGGAGCGAAAGCGUGGGGAGCAAACAGG